UUCAGACCGUCGUGAGACAGGUUAGUUUUACCCUACUGUUGAAGUGCUGUUGUAAUAGUAACUCAACUCAGUACGAGAGGAACCGUUGAUUCGAAUAUUUGGUCCUUGCCGUUGCCUGAACAGGCAAUGCGGCGAAGCUACCAUUCGUCGGAUUAUGACUGAACGCCUCUAAGUCAGAAUCCAUGCUAAACACAACAGUAUCCACUCUCGAGAUUCCAAGCGGAUAACAAUAACAUUGUAUACAUCCCACAUCUGUUCUAAGACGAUGGAACACAUGAGAACCUCAACCUCUUGAGAGAUAAAUCCUUUGCAGACGACUUAAACUUGUUACGGGGUAUUGUAAAUAGACGAGAGGCCUUGUUGCCUCGAGCUAUUGAGAUUCAUCCUGCGUA
rnacentral:rRNA from 1 species